rnacentral:rRNA from 1 species
AACGAACGCUGGCGGCAGGCCUAACACAUGCAAGUCGAGCGAGGACUUCGGUCCUAGCGGCGGACGGGUGAGUAACGCGUGGGAACGUGCCCUUUGCUUCGGAAUAGCCCUGGGAAACUGGGAGUAAUACCGGAUGAGCCCUUAGGGGGAAAGAUUUAUCGGCGAAGGAUCGGCCCGCGUUGGAUUAGGUAGUUGGUGGGGUAAUGGCCUACCAAGCCGACGAUCCAUAGCUGGUUUGAGAGGAUGAUCAGCCACACUGGGACUGAGACACGGCCCAGACUCCUACGGGAGGCAGCAGUGGGGAAUCUUAGACAAUGGGGGAAACCCUGAUCGAGCCAUGCCGCGUGAGCGAUGAAGGCCUUAGGGUUGUAAAGCUCUUUCAGCUGGGAAGAUAAUGACGGUACCAGCAGAAGAAGCCCCGGCUAACUCCGUG